UUUGAGAAAUGGUCUUAUGAAUUGCCUUCAACAUCUCUGGCCUUUUUUUUUCUUUGUAAUUCACUAGUGAUAAAGCUUCAUUGUAUGAAAAUGACUUGACUUCUGCAAACAUCCAACCUUCAGUUGAAAUUGUCUGAUAAGUUUGGAUAGAAGGAGGCUCAAGGGUAGUAGAAGAAGAAAGGAAACUGGAAAGUCACAGGAAGACUGGUUCGGGGCUCACCAUUCUCUCUAGAAAGAAUAGCACACAGAGCUCACAGGGGUGCACGACGGUAUGAAAAACUGGCUUCUCACUCUACCAGGCUGAACUCCAUUUAAAAUCAGGAGCCAUGACCAGCAUCAUCAAUGAAAUGUGUGUCUGUGGAGGUCUGGCUGACUAUUCUGAAAAACCACCACCCAAAUGAAUCUCAUUUUAAUGGAGACCCUGCAUCAAGUUACGUAAUGGCCUGUCCAUCACCGACUGGAUCUCUCACAUUUUCUCAGAUGUUGAGUUGUGAUGCCAUAAACCAAAUCUCAUGUGGAAUAUUUCAUGCAAUGUUCAGGAUGUCUGCUUUCUUAUCCUUUUGAUUUCCUUGAAUAAUUACUUAGUUAAAAAUACAUAUAUCACAUUUU
rnacentral:lncRNA from 1 species